UUUCCGUAGGUGAACCUGCGGAAGGAUCAUUAAUGAGUUGUCAUGGGGUUCGAUGCUGGCAGCCAAUUUUUGGAUGCAUGUGCUUGCCCUAACAAUCAUCUUCCAAACACCUGUGCACAUUUUUGAGGGAGUCUUGAGUUGGUUGCCGCUCUUGGAUGAUUUUCUCACAUUCCCUUAAAUCAUUAUACGCUAUUAACAAUGUUGAACGUGCUCUGUGCCGCAAGGCUAUUAAUAUAAUACAACUUUUAACAACGGAUCUCUAGGCUCUC
rnacentral:misc_RNA from 1 species